CCUACGGGUGGCAGCAGUGAGGAAUAUUGGUCAAUGGACGAGAGUCUGAACCAGCCAAGCAGCGUGAAGGAUGACUGCCCUAUGGGUUGUAAACUUCUUUUAUAAAGGAAUAAAACGAGGCACGUGUGCCUUUUUGCAUGUACUUUAUGAAUAAGGAUCGGCUAACUCCGUCCCAGCCGCCGCGGUAAUACGGAGGAUCCGAGCGUUAUCCGGAUGUAUUGGGUUUAAUGGGAUGGUAGAGGGGUUGUUACGUAAGGUUGGAAAGUUUGCGGCUUAAACGUAGAGUUUCAAUUGAUACUGGCAGUCUUGAGUGCAGUUGAGGUAAGCGGAAUUCGUAGUGUAGCGGUGGAAUGCGUAGAUAUCACGAAGAACCGCAGUUGCGAAGGCAACUUUCUAAACUGUAACUGACGUUGAUGCACGAAAGUGUGGGGAUCAAACAGGAUUAGAUACCCUUGUAGUC
rnacentral:rRNA from 1 species